AUUGAACGCUGGCGGCAGGCUUAACACAUGCAAGUCGAGCGGGGGAAGGUAGCUUGCUACCGGACCUAGCGGCGGACGGGUGAGUAAUGCUUAGGAAUCUGUCUAUUAGUGGGGGACAACAUCUCGAAAGGGAUGCUAAUACCGCAUACGUCCUACGGGAGAAAGCAGGGGAUCUUCGGACCUUGCGCUAAUAGAUGAGCCUAAGUCGGAUUAGCUAGUUGGUGGGGUAAAGGCCUACCAAGGCGACGAUCUGUAGCGGGUCUGAGAGGAUGAUCCGCCACACUGGGACUGAGACACGGCCCAGACUCCUACGGGAGGCAGCAGUGGGGAAUAUUGGACAAUGGGGGGAACCCUGAUCCAGCCAUGCCGCGUGUGUGAAGAAGGCCUUAUGGUUGUAAAGCACUUUAAGCGAGGAGGAGGCUACUGAGACUAAUACUCUUGGAUAGUGGACGUUACUCGCAGAAUAAGCACCGGCUAACUCUGUGCCAGCCGCCGCCGUAA
rnacentral:rRNA from 1 species